GGCGGAGUAGCUCAGGUGGUUAGAGCAGCGGAAUCAUAAUCCGCGUGUCGGGGGUUCGAGUCCCUCUCCCGCUACCA
rnacentral:tRNA from 1 species